rnacentral:tRNA from 1 species
UGGCCCAGUCGGUAGAGCAUGGUGUUUGCAACGCCAGGGUUGUGGGUUCGAUUCCCAC